GCCAGUUUGGCCGAGUGGUUUAAGGCGGUGGUUUUAAGUCAAAGUGGGGUCCCACGAUCUUGAACACCAUUAUCGAGAGAUGCGCAGGUUCGAACCCUGCAGCUGGCA